rnacentral:lncRNA from 1 species
UUGGGAGGAGGUUGUGUUGGUGGUGGUGGAAAUGAAGCUUGUUCAUCACCACUUCUGGGUGAAGACGAUUCUUCAGCAAGUUCUGCUAUUAUUUCUUCAUAUGCCUCAUCUAUUGCCGGGUGUGAUUCUGCUAUGCCAAAGUUCCUUCUUUUUGCGCGGAUCCAAUCUCUAAAAAGCACUGAUUUUUCCAAGCUCUCCCACAUCGACGCUCUGUGAUCACCUAUUUGUAGUCUUGCUUGACU